UGCUGGAGGUAUCAGAAGUGCGAAUGCUGACAUAAGUAACGAUAAAGCGGGUGAAAAGCCCGCUCGCCGGAAGACCAAGGGUUCCUGUCCAACGUUAAUCGGGGCAGGGUGAGUCGACCCCUAAGGCGAGGCCGAAAGGCGUAGUCGAUGGGAAACAGGUUAAUAUUCCUGUACUUGGUGUUACUGCGAAGGGGGGACGGAGAAGGCUAUGUUAGCCGGGCGACGGUUGUCCCGGUUUAAGCAUGUAGGCUGAUUAUCCAGGCAAAUCCGGAUAAUCAAGGCUGAGGUGUGAUGACGAGGCACUACGGUGCUGAAGUAACAAAUGCCCUGCUUCCAGGAAAAGCCUCUAAGC
rnacentral:rRNA from 1 species